AAGGAUUCCCCUAGUAACUGCGAGUGAAGCGGGAAAAGCUCAAAUUUAAAAUCUGGCGGUCUUGGGCCGUCCGAGUUGUAAUCUAGAGAAGUGUUAUCCGCGCUGGACCGUGUACAAGUCUCCUGGAAUGGAGCGUCAUAGAGGGUGAGAAUCCCGUCUUUGACACGGACUACCAGGGCUUUGUGAUGCGCUCUCAAAGAGUCGAGUUGUUUGGGAAUGCAGCUCAAAAUGGGUGGUAAAUUCCAUCUAAAGCUAAAUAUUGGCGAGAGACCGAUAGCGAACAAGUACCGUGAGGGAAAGAUGAAAAGAACUUUGGAAAGAGAGUUAAACAGUACGUGAAAUUGCUGAAAGGGAAACGCUUGAAGUCAGUCGCGUUGUCCAGGGAUCAACCUUGCUUUUGCUUGGCGUACUUCCUGGUUGACGGGUCAGCAUCAAUUUUGACCGUUGGAAAAAGUUCAAAGGAAUGUGGCAUCCUUCUGGAUGUGUUAUAGCCCUUGAUCGUAUACAACGGUUGGGAUUGAGGAACUCAGCACGCCGAAAGGCCGGGCUUUUAGCCACGUUCGUGCUUAGGAUGCUGGCAUAAUGGCUUUAAUCGACCCGUCUUGAAACACGGACCAAGGAGUCUAACAUGCCUGCGAGUGUUUGGGUGGAAAACCCGAGCGCGCAAUGAAAGUGAAAGUUGAGAUCCCUGUCGUGGGGAGCAUCGACGCCCGGACCAGACCUUUUGUGACGGAUCCGCGGUAGAGCAUGUAUGUUGGGACCCGAAAGAUGGUGAACUAUGCCUGAAUAGGGUGAAGCCAGAGGAAACUCUGGUGGAGGCUCGUAGCGAUUCUGACGUGCAAAUCGAUCGUCAAAUUUGGGUAUAGGGGCGAAAGACUAAUCG
rnacentral:rRNA from 1 species